AUUGAACGCUGGCGGCAGGCCUAACACAUGCAAGUCGAGCGAGCGGCGGACGGGUGAGUAAUGUAUGGGGAAUGCGCGAUAGAGAGGGAUAAAUACGCAGAACGGUAUCGAAUAUCGCAUACUAUCGGAAAACCGAUAGGGGAUUAGCUAGUAGGUGGGGGAAUGGCUCACCUAGGCGACGAUCCCUAGCUGGUCUGAGAGGAGGAUCAGCCACACUGGGAAUGAGACACGGCCCAGACUCCUACGGAGGCAGCAGUGGGGAAUAUUGCACAAUGGGCGCAAGCCUGAUGCAGCCAUGCCGCGGGUAUGAAGAAGGCCCUAGGGUUGUAAAGUACUUUCAGUCGGGAGGCGUUACCGACAGAAGAAGCACCGGCUAACUCCGUGCCAGCCGCCGCGGUAAUUC
rnacentral:rRNA from 1 species